rnacentral:ncRNA from 1 species
AUGACAAUACAGGAUUCUGAGGCCAUGUAAUUAGAAUGGGUCUUCUUUAAAUCCUUCAAAAAGUCUCUAUUGGCAGGCAAGUCUGGUGUCAGCAGCCUUGGUAAUUCCAGCUCCAA